AACGAACGCUGGCGGCAGGCUUAACACAUGCAAGUCGAGCGCCCCGCAAGGGGAGCGGCAGACGGGUGAGUAACGCGUGGGAAUCUACCCAUCUCUACGGAAUAACGCAUGGAAACGUGUGCUAAUACCGUAUACGUCCUUCGGGAGAAAGAUUUAUCGGAGAUGGAUGAGCCCGCGGUGGAGUAGCUAGUUGGUGGGGUAAAGGCCUACCAAGGCGACGAUCCGUAGCUGGUCUGAGAGGAUGAUCAGCCACACUGGGACUGAGACACGGCCCAGACUCCUACGGGAGGCAGCAGUGGGGAAUAUUGGACAAUGGGCGCAAGCCUGAUCCAGCCAUGCCGCGUGAGUGAUGAAGGCCCUAGGGUUGUAAAGCUCUUUCACCGGUGAAGAUAAUGACGGUAACCGGAGAAGAAGCCCCGGCUAACUUCGUGCCAGCAGCCGCAGUAACAC
rnacentral:rRNA from 1 species